AUUGAACGCUGGCGGCAGGCCUAACACAUGCAAGUCGAACGAGUGGCAGACGGGUGAGUAAUGUCUGGGAAACUGCCCGAUGGAGGGGGAUAACUACUGGAAACGGUAGCUAAUACCGCAUACCAUCGGAUGUGCCCAGAUGGGAUUAGCGAGUAGGUGGGGUAAAGGCUCACCUAGGCGACGAUCCCUAGCUGGUCUGAGAGGAUGACCAGCCAAAUGGGAACUGAGACACGGGCCAGAGUCCUACGUGAGGCAGCAGUGGGGAAUAUUGCACAAUGGGCGGAAGCCGGAUGCAGCCAUGCGGCGUGUAUGAAGAAGGCCUUCGGGUUGUAAAGUACUUUCAGCGGGGAGGCGGUACCCGCAGAAGAAGCACCGGCUAACUCCGUGCCAGCAGCCGCGGUAAUAC
rnacentral:rRNA from 1 species